rnacentral:rRNA from 1 species
GACGAACGCUGGCGGCGUGCUUAACACAUGCAAGUCGAACGAUGAAGCUGGAGCUUGCUCCGGUGGAUUAGUGGCGAACGGGUGAGUAACACGUGAGCAAUCUGCCCUUGACUCUGGGAUAACUGCGGGAAACUGUAGCUAAUACCGGAUACGAGGCUCGAAGGCAUCUUCGGGUCUGGAAAGAAUUUCGGUCAAGGAUGAGCUCGCGGCCUAUCAGCUUGUUGGUGAGGUAAUGGCUCACCAAGGCGACGACGGGUAGCCGGCCUGAGAGGUGACCGGCCACACUGGGACUGAGACACGGCCCAGACUCCUACGGGAGGCAGCAGUGGGGAAUAUUGCACAAUGGGCGAAAGCCUGAUGCAGCAACGUCGCGUGAGGGAUGAAGGCCUUCGGGUUGUAAACCUCUUUUAGCAGGGAAGAAGCGAAAGUGACGGUACCUGCAGAAAAAGCACCGGCUAACUACGUGCCAGCCGCCGCGGUAA